rfam:Buceros rhinoceros silvestris contig179647, whole genome shotgun sequence.
CCAAAGGCUCUUUUAAGAGCCACCAAUACUUUAAUUUGAAGAGCUU